rnacentral:rRNA from 1 species
UACGGGGGGGGGCAAGCGUUGUUCGGAAUUACUGGGCGUAAAGGGCGCGUAGGCGGAUAGUUUAGUCAGAGGUGAAAGCCCAGGGCUCAACCUUGGAAUUGCCUUUGAUACUGGCUGUCUUGAGUACGGGAGAGGUGAGUGGAACUCCGAGUGUAGAGGUGAAAUUCGUAGAUAUUCGGAAGAACACCAGUGGCGAAGGCGACUCACUGGCCCGUUACUGACGCUGAGGCGCGAAAGCGUGGGGAGCAAACAGG